rfam:Methylomonas denitrificans strain FJG1, complete genome.
GCUUCUAUUACCACCAUUUCACCAAUGGUGGGUUAGCACGUUUACUUUCUACUGCAACCCGCCCUGAGGCGGGUUUU